UGGGAAUCUUGCACAAUGGGGGAAACCCUGAUGCAGCGACGCCGCGUGAGCGAUGAAGCCCUUCGGGGUGUAAAGCUCUUUCGGCAGGAACGAUAAUGACGGUACCUGCAGAAGAAGCUGCGGCUAACUACGUGCCAGCAGCCGCGGUAAUACGUAGGCAGCGAGCGUUGUUCGGAGUUACUGGGCGUAAAGAGUGCGUAGGUGGUUCUCUAAGUUCGGUGUGAAAUCUCCCGGCUCAACUGGGAGGGUGCGCCGAAAAACUGGAGGGCUGGAGUGCGGGAGAGGAGAGCGGAAUUCCUGGUGUAGCGGUGAAAUGCGUAGAUAUCAGGAGGAACACCUGUGGUGCAGACGGCUCUCUGGACCGCUACUGACACUGAGGCACGAAAGCGUGGGGAGCAAACAGGAUUAGAUACCCUGGUAGUCCACGCCCUAAACGAUGCAUACUUGGUGUGGGUCAUUCAGUUGAUCCGUGCCGGAGCUAACGCGUUAAGUAUGCCG
rnacentral:rRNA from 1 species